rnacentral:rRNA from 1 species
ACGGGUGCGGAACACGUGCGAAACUUUCCCUUAUCUGGGAGAUAGCCCGAAGAAAUUCGGAUUAAUAUCCCAUAACAUAUUUAGAUGGCAUCAUUUGAAUAUUAAAACUCCGGUGGAUAAGGAUGGUCGCGCGUAUGAUUAGGUAGUUGGCGGGGUAACGGCCCACCAAGCCUACGAUCAUUAGCUGAUGUGAGAGCAUGAUCAGCCACACGGGCACUGAGACACGGGCCCGACUCCUACGGGAGGCAGCAGUAAGGAAUAUUGGUCAAUGGACGCAAGUCUGAACCAGCCAUGCCGCGUGAAGGAUGAAGGUCCUCUGGAUUGUAAACUUCUUUUAUAGGGGGCGAAACACUUUUUAUCUAAAGAGCUUGACAGUACCCUAUGAAUAAGCACCGGCUAACUCCGUGCCAGCAGCCGCGGUAAUACGGAGGGUGCAAGCGUUAUCCGGAUUUACUGGGUUUAAAGGGUGCGUAGGCGGAUUUGUAAGUCCGAGGUGAAAUCUCCGAGCUUAACUCGGAAACUGCCUUGGAUACUAUAAGUCUUGAAUGACGUUGAGGUUAGCGGAAUAUGUCAUGUAGCGG